rnacentral:rRNA from 1 species
AUGAAGUUCCUACUAGUAAUGACACUCCUAGCUCUAUUUCAGAGGCCUAUACAUCUGAAGAUGCUGACUACUGGAAGGAAGCGGUGCAAAUGGGUAUUCAAGAAGAAGCUUAGGCCUGAUGGUACUAUCGAAAAGUACAAGGCACGGCUCAUGGACAAGGGAUAUACCCAAAAAGAAGGUGAAGACUUCUUUGAUACCUACCUCACAUGGUCUUCUCGUCCAUCAAAUGGAUGUUAA